GUUCGGAAUCCAUCCACUGUGGAAGCUCAGACGGAGUCCGAUUCUUAUGGGAGGCCGAAAGGAGACCACUUAUUGUUGGAGCUCGAUCGAAGAUCGGUUGUCAUGGGAGCUCGAAGUAACGACCUAGCUGAUGGAUCUCGCCCAUGGUAGAAGCUCAUGUGGGAUCCGGCUAUGAAGAAGCUCGACUGAAGUCUACCUCCUGCUAUAGGAGUUUGGAGCAGAUCGCUCGCUGUAGGAGUUCAGAGUAGAAUGCUCGCAGUAGAUGUUCAGAGUAGACUGCUCGUAGUAGAAGUUCAGCUCUCACAAGAGCCCGAUUAGAAUCUUGAAGGUGGUCGACCACCGUAGAAACUCGGAUGGAGUCCGAUUUCUGUAGAUACCUCAUUGUCGAAGAAGCUCGGAUAUUGACAGAGUCUGGAAGGAGUUCGGAGAAUAGUUGGUCACUGUAGAAGGUCGGCUGACAAUGAGGCCAGAGAGCCUUUGGAGCGGCAUGGUAGGUGGAUGGAGAAGCUCAUUGUCGGAGA
rnacentral:lncRNA from 1 species